CUGCCGGCGAGUGGCGAACGGGUGAGUAAUGCAUCGGAACGUGUCCUGCCGUGGGGGAUAACUGGCCGAAAGGUCAGCUAAUACCGCAUGCGACCCACGGGUGAAAGGAGGGGAUCGAAAGACCUUCCGCGGCAGGGGCGGCCGAUGCCUGAUUAGCUGGUUGGCGGGGUAAGAGCCCACCAAGGCGACGAUCAGUAGCUGGUCUGAGAGGACGACCAGCCACAUUGGGACUGAGACACGGCCCAGACUCCUACGGGAGGCAGCAGUGGGGAAUUUUGGACAAUGGGGGCAACCCUGAUCCAGCCAUGCCGCGUGCGGGAAGAAGGCCUUCGGGUUGUAAACCGCUUUUGCCGGGGACGAAAAGCGAUGUGCCAAUACCACGUCGUGCUGACGGUACCCGGAGAAUAAGCACCGGCUAACUACGUGCCAGCAGCCGCGGUAAUACGUAGGGUGCGAGCGUUAAUCGGAAUUACUGGGCGUAAAGCGUGCGCAGGCGGCUGUGCAAGACAGAUGUGAAAUCCCCGGGCCCAACCUGGGAACUGCAUUUGUGACUGCACGGCUCGAGUGUGUCAGAGGAGGGCGGAAUUCCGCGUGUAGCAGUGAAAUGCGUAGAUAUGCGGAAGAACACCGAUGGCGAAGGCAGCCCUCUGGGGCACAACUGACGCUCAUGCACGAAAGCACGGGGAGCAAACAGGAUUAGAUACCCUGGUAGUCCGUGCCCUAAACGAUGUCAACUGAUUGUCUGGGGAGCGAUCCCUGGGUAACCAAGCCAACGCGUGAAGUUGACCGCCUGGGAAGUACGGUCGCAAGAUUAAAACUCAAAGGAAUUGACGGGGACCCGCACAAGCGGUGGAUGAUGUGGAUUAAUUCGACGCAACGCGAAAAACCUUACCUAGCCUUGACAUGUCGGGAAUCCUGGUGAAAGCCGGAUCCCGCAAG
rnacentral:rRNA from 1 species